CACUCAUAGAUGGAAGGAAAGGGACAUGGGGAGGAGGGUUGGGUCACCCUUACUCUGCACACUUCCGGCAGCAGGCUGCCCACUUGUUCUGUGUCCUAUGUAUGCAUGUGUGUGUGUCCUUGUGAGAGAGAGCUGUAUAAGUGUACGUAUACAUGCAUGUGUGUAUAUGCCUAUGAGAGAGCUGUGCUAGCAGGCACAUGCCUGUGCGUGUGAUGUGUGUACCUGUGUGAGAGAGCUGUGUAGCGUAUGUAGACAUGUAUUGUGUGAGUGUAAAUGCACGUGUGCUUGAGUCACCUUGCAAGAAUUUCAGAUGUAUGUGAGUGUGCUCGGGUGUGCACGCUGAGCUCCUGCGUGUGGCACCCUCACUCACUCCAGUCUCUGGGAGUGCCUGACAACAGCAAGCCUCCUCCCUACCCGUGCUGCCCCGUGCUGCACGCUCAUCUCAGUGCUGUGAUACAGACACUGUGCAGCUCUCUGGUUCCCUGCUUCUGAGUCCAGGGCUGCUUCUCCGCUGGCAGAUGUGGAGUUUGUCCACUGGGGAUCUGCACUGGGACGUCCCUCAGCACAGGGCAUUGAACUCUGGCGUGCUGCCUCCCCAGUCCUAACUCGAGCUUUCAAAUUUUUAACAAGACCCUAUUAAGUUCCUGAGGAAGGACGAAUUUGUGAUCCUCCUGCCUCAUCCUCCCAAGAGCAGGUUGAGAUCACCCAGACUUUGUCCUGAGUGGUUCCCCAGCUGUCUGAUGUUUUGGAUCAUACCUCCGGGCCUGAGAUCUGCUGUGAGGUGGCCUCAUGGAGUCAGUCAGCUGUCCUUUUGCCCAGCUUUUGGAUGAGGACUCCAGGGUCAUGGGACCAGAGGAGUGAGAAAAAGGGAGAGAAGAUGACAAGAAGGGUGGCCAGAGUCAUUGCAGAGUUCAGCCAGAAAGCCAGGUUGAACAUGGUGCUAUCCUUCAGCUGGAAGGGGAUGGCAGGAUGGCACCAGCUCCCAAGAGACGGACGACGGCACCCCUGCCCUCGGGGGAGUAUCCCAGG